UACGUAGGGCGCAAGCGUUGUCCGGAAUUAUUGGGCGUAAAGAGCUCGUAGGCGGUCUGUCACGUCGGAUGUGAAAGCCCGGGGCUUAACCCCGGGUCUGCAUUCGAUACGGGCAGACUAGAGUGUGGUAGGGGAGAUCGGAAUUCCUGGUGUAGCGGUGAAAUGCGCAGAUAUCAGGAGGAACACCGGUGGCGAAGGCGGAUCUCUGGGCCAUUACUGACGCUGAGGAGCGAAAGCGUGGGGAGCAAACAGG
rnacentral:rRNA from 1 species